AGGGUUUUUUUUUGCUGAAAUUUACUUGUAGGCUACUACUGUCUUCAAGUGAAUCCAGGCCAUGAAAUGAAAUGAUUCCAAAAUUACCUU
rnacentral:sRNA from 1 species